CCGUUCCUGUCCAAUAAAUUUAUUUUCAUUUUCAAUUUUGAAAAAAAAAAAAAAUUGUCCAAUUGGGUCAGCCGGUAUUCUAAGAAAACUGGACGUCUAAUAAUUCCCAAGAUGCAAAUGAGUCCAUUUCCGCAGCAUCUGUUUGUGUCCAUUUUUACUCUUUUUUUCUUCUCUCUCUCUCUCUUUACUACUCAAGAAGAACACGAAAAUAAAAAUGUAGUUCACGCCCACAACCUAUUUCCCUGGUAGACCCCGAGUUAUCGCUAAAACUUCCUGCAUCUAAUAAUACAACGUCGCCGACGUCGCUACGUUUCUUUCCAAAACUGUUGACGGUCCCGAAACGCAUUCGGCUUCACCUGUGACCAUUCUUUUGUAGUAAAACGUUGUUCUCACUCUCUCUCUCUCUGUCUCCCUAUUUCUCAAGGAUUCGUGCAUUACAAUGACUAAUUCCAGACAGACGAGGAUCACAUUUCUCUUCUCGUGGACCUUGGUCUCCUUGGAUAAACGGGGGAUUGAAAACAUCCCGGAAAUGGGUUUUUUAAAAAACAAACAAACAAACAAAUCGUUUAAAAAAAAACAGAUGAGUCUAAUGAGGUCGCGCAAGUUGCCACUAUAUCGCAGGGAGGUCAAAUCCAAAUACGGAUAUUGGGUCCGACAUCAAUAAACAACGUCUUCAAAUGAUAAUUAUGGCAAGGAACAAUCGGCCAAAUUUUUAGACGACAAUAAUUUGCAUUUUUAAAGGACCAAAACAAAAGACCUCGCAGAUUGUGGAGAUUCAAAAAGAAUUGGACUUUUUUUUUUAAACCUUCGGGGCUACCUUUCCUUCCAUUAAUAAACAACAACAAAAAAACUCCGACUGCUAGAAAAAAGAAAGAAACAACACGUCGACACCUUCCAAAUUUAUUUUCUCUCUCGUUGAGAAGAGAAGAAGAAAAAAAAAAAAAACGUUAAAGUUUUUGCAGUUGUAGACCAAGCGUUCGACUCUCAGAGGGACGUCGUCGACGAAGGACUCCUCCAUCAUCCGGCAAACGCUUCAAUGUGAUUACCACCACAAACAUCACCAAAAAGAAGGAAGGAUCUCUUGGUGCCACCACCGCAGCCGGGGUCUCAUCAGUCAUGGCGUUACCCCCCUUUUUGAAAUGAAAAAAGAAAAAAAGGAAACUUGUGCGUCGCCUCCAAAACUCUCGCAACUCAACGGAGCGAAAAAGCCGGAAGUGUCUGACCGAUUCCGACCUAUUCCAUCAUUCCGCACUUCUAGCAUCGCCCCACCCUGUGGAAUCAUGGCGGUGCUAUCGAUUAAAAGAAGAAAUAUUUCCAGUUUUUUUCUUUGUUUUUUUUUUUUUAUAGAAAUUUAAAGUCUCCGCCCGAAAAUUGAAAAACCAAAAAAAAAAAUUGGCUAUCCAAAAUUAGUUGUAAAGGUAAAAAGGCCCAUUUGGGAGUGGUUCAAUAAAUCCAAUAUCACGUCGUUCUUUCCGGGUUUUUUUUUGUUUUUAAAAGUUUGGUUGUGUUUGCUCUCGCCUGUCCAUGUCUGUUUUUAGUAAAGA